rnacentral:rRNA from 1 species
AUGGCUCGGAAGGAUCUCCUCCGUCGCCGGCGGGCCUGCGACAAUGACCGCCUCAGCGCGCUCCCUGACGACCUGCUCCUACUUAUCCUGCGCCGUCUCGACAGCCGCACCGCACACGGCGCCGCGGUGCUCUCCAAGCGCUGGGCUCACCUCCCGCGGGAGCUCACCGCGCUGGAUCUCAAAGCGACCGACACACUGCCACAGCGCUACCGCCGAUGCCUCCUCCGCCGCCGCGAAGCCACGAGAUCGCUGCCACUAGCCCAGAAUGCCAGAAAGCUAGAGGAUAUCGCCGGGCGGUACCAGCGCCGCGCCAUGCGCUCCAUGGUCGCCUCUGUCCGGAGCCUCUUGGCCAGCGGACUUCACCGGCGUGUGAAUAGGCUAUCGCUCGAGAUCUUCGAAGACAACACCUUGGCCUGUAUCAACAGCCUUAUAGUGGACGCCGUUGAUUCCUGGGGCGUCCAGGAUCUCGUGGUCGUUGCCACGCCGACCGAGCGGACCGUGAACACGCCGCCGGCCUACGAUUUCCCCCAUGGUCGCACCAGCAGAAAGCCAGGCGAGUCUCGCCUGCAAAGCCUCAAGCUCGCCAAAUGCUUGCCCCCGCCGCUUGAGGGGUUCACCGCGCUCACCACGCUCGUCGUGCAAGAUUUGCCCAGAUCAACGCCGGCAGCCGUCUACCGGAGGGCGAUUGCCGCGUGCCCGCAGCUGCAAAUUCUGCACCUCAUCCGCUGCGGGUACAAAAGCAAGGCCUUUGCACUGAUACUCAACGCGCCCAUGUCAGGAAUCAGGGAGCUGCUCGUGGACGGCCCGUUGAUGCUAGUUGAGAUCCGCUCUCUCCCGAAGCUCCAGAGCCUCACUGUUCUGCACGCCACCCUGCUGUUGAGCUCCGCCGCCUCCCCUUGCAUCGAGCAUGCGAGCUUCGUCUUCUCCGUUGAUCAGCGGGAAGGUUCUUCUUUCCGGUACAACACGGAGCUGGAGACCAACUCUGCCAUCCUCAUGCGGUUCUUUCAAGCCGCCGUCGGCACGACGGACCUCGCCCUGCGGAUUGCUGGGCCAGGUAUGUGGAUCGCCCUGAAGAAUCCGGUCUGUCAAAUGGCCAACGUCAGGAGGCUGCUGAUUGCGGACGUGCCUUCCUCCUGGGACGUCUCGGGCUCAGGGCCCCACCUCCUCAUCGACGCUGCACCAUUCCUUGAGAGCAUUCACGUCCAUGUUCCCAAACCCGAGGAGGAGCCGUGCCGGAAGCCGCCGCGGCCGCCCUCGACCGCGCGCCGCCACCGCCAUCUGAAGGAGCUGGUGGUCAUCGGCUUUCAGGGAACAGAGAGGCAUCUUCACCUUGUAAGGUACGCGGUGGAAGCGUCCACGGCGCUGAGCCGUGUUGCUCUGUUCAAGCAUGGGCAUGUCAAGGAGAAGGGGCCCUGCGGCUGGGAGAUGGUAACUCUGCGAAGCAAGUGGAGCGACGAGGAGAAACGCGCCGUUCUGGAUAGAGUCUGCUGCCCCACGGCCCAAAUUGAAGUGGUUCUAGGUUGA